rnacentral:rRNA from 1 species
AUUGAACGCUGGCGGCAUGCUUUACACAUGCAAGUCGAGCGGCAGCACAGGGAGCUUGCUCCUGGGUGGCGAGUGGCGAACGGGUGAGUAAUGUAUCGGAACGUGCCUGGUAGUGGGGGAUAACUACUCGAAAGAGUGGCUAAUACCGCAUGAGAUCUUUGGAUGACAGCGGGGGACCUUCGGGCCUCGUGCUACUGGAGCGGCCGAUAUCAGAUUAGGUUGUUGGUGGGGUAAAGGCCUACCAAGCCUGCGAUCUGUAGCUGGUCUGAGAGGACGACCAGCCACACUGGGACUGAGACACGGCCCAGACUCCUACGGGAGGCAGCAGUGGGGAAUUUUGGACAAUGGGCGCAAGCCUGAUCCAGCAAUGCCGCGUGCAGGACGAAGGCCUUCGGGUUGUAAACUGCUUUUGUACAGAACGAAAAGUCUCUGGCUAAUAUCUAGAGAUCAUGACGGUACUGUAAGAAUAAGCACCGGCUAACUACGUG